rnacentral:rRNA from 1 species
UACGUAGGGUGCGAGCGUUAAUCGGAAUUACUGGGCGUAAAGCGUGCGCAGGCGGUUCGUUAAGUCAGAUGUGAAAGCCCCGGGCUCAACCUGGGAACUGCAUUUGAAACUGGCGGGCUUGAGUGUGGCAGAGGGGGGUGGAACUCCGCGUGUAGCAGUGAAAUGCGUAGAGAUGCGGAGGAACACCGAUGGCGAAGGCAGCCCCCUGGGCCAACACUGACGCUCAGGCACGAAAGCGUGGGGAGCAAACAGG